rnacentral:lncRNA from 1 species
GCUGCUUGUAUGUCUUCUUUAGAAAAAAUGUCUUUUCAUGUCCUUUGCCCACUUUUUAAUGUUUUUUUUCUCUUGUUGAGCUUUUGAUUUCCUUAUAGAGUCUGGAUAUCAGUCCUUUGUUGGACACAUAGUUUGCAAAUAUUUUCUCUCAUUCUGUAGGUUUGUUUACUCUGUUGACUAUUUCUUUUUCUGUGCAGAAGGUUUUCAAUUUACUUAAGUCCCAUUUGUCUAUUUUUUAUUUCAUUGCAUUUGCUUUUGAGGUCAUAGUCAUAAGUUCUUUGCGUAGGCCAUUAUCUAGAAGAAUUUUUCCUAGGUUUUCUUCUAGGAUUUUUACCAUUUCAGAUCAUACAUUUAAGUCUUUAAUCCAUCUUUAAUUAAAAAUUUUAUAUAUGGUCAGAGACAGAGGUCCAGCUUCAUUUUUCUGCAUAUGGUGCUCCAAUUUUCCCAGCACCAUUUAUUGAAUAGAGUGUUCAUUCCCCAGUGUAUAUUUUUGUUGAUUUUGUCAAAGAUCAGUUGGUUGUAGGUAUGUGGCUUUAUUUCUGGGUUCUCUUUCUGUUCCAUUGAUCUGUGUGUCUAUUUUUGUACCAUUACCAUGCUGUUUUGGUUGCUGUAGCCCUGUAGAAUAAUUUGAAGUCAAGUAAUGUGAUGCUUCUGGCUUUGUUCCUUGUUAAUUUUUUUCUUUUUUGAGACAGGGUCUUGCUCUGCUGUCCAGGCUGGAGUGCUGUGGCAUGAUUUUGGCUCACUUCAGCUUCAACUGCACAGGCUCAAGUGAUCCUCCCACCUCAGACUCCCAAGUAGCUUGGACUACAGAGGGCCUAAUCAUGAGAUGAAGCGGAGAAAUAAUGAAGUGCUUAUGAACAUUAUGGAGACCAGAAAUUGCAGGAAAUCCAGAACAUCCAGAGGCUUGACAUUCACGGGGUGGCCCAGAAUUUAUGCUCUAAAUGCAGAGCAUCUCCAGAGACAUCCACAGUGUGGUCUCCAGAAGGACACUGUUUAAGAUCCAUUUUCCAUUAAGAGGAAAGAGGGCCUUGUAUUGGAUACCUGUUGGGUUUGGCAUCUAGUUUCCCUUUUCUACAAACUUCUUCCUUCUCUGCUCAUCCAGAUGGUCACAGGUUGGCUUCCAAGCAGCCAUGAUUAUAUUUUGUGGAGUCCUGAUUAGGGAAAACGAGUCAGACUGACAGGAUGAAGUUGAAAGUAAAGAGAUAAAGCAAAUAAGCUACAGGUUAGCCUUUCUUCAU